UACGUAGGAUGCAAGCGUUGUCCGGAAUUAUUGGGCGUAAAGAGCGCGCAGGCGGUCUAUCAAGUCAGAUGUGAAAUAUCCAGGCUUAACCUGGAGGGGUCAUUUGAAACUGGUAGACUAGAGUACAGCAGAGGAUAGUGGAAUUCCCGGUGUAGUGGUGAAAUGCGUAGAUAUCGGGAGGAACACCAGUGGCGAAGGCGGGUCUCUGGGCCGAUACUGACGCUGAGGAGCGAAAGCGUGGGGAGCGAACAGG
rnacentral:rRNA from 1 species